rnacentral:rRNA from 1 species
GCUUAACACAUGCAAGUCGAGGGGCAGCAUGGUCUUAGCUUGCUAAGGCCGAUGGCGACCGGCGCACGGGUGAGUAACACGUAUCCAACCUGCCGUCUACUCUUGGACAGCCUUCUGAAAGGAAGAUUAAUACAAGAUGGCAUCAUGAGUCCGCAUGUUCACAUGAUUAAAGGUAUUCCGGUAGACGAUGGGGAUGCGUUCCAUUAGAUAGUAGGCGGGGUAACGGCCCACCUAGUCUUCGAUGGAUAGGGGUUCUGAGAGGAAGGUCCCCCACAUUGGAACUGAGACACGGUCCAAACUCCUACGGGAGGCAGCAGUGAGGAAUAUUGGUCAAUGGGCGAGAGCCUGAACCAGCCAAGUAGCGUGAAGGAUGACUGCCCUAUGGGUUGUAAACUUCUUUUAUAAAGGAAUAAAGUCGGGUAUGGAUACCCGUUUGCAUGUACUUUAUGAAUAAGGAUCGGCUAACUCCGUGCCAGCAGCCGCGGUAAUACGGAGGAUCCGAGCGUUAUCCGGAUUUAUUGGGUUUAAAGGGAGCGUAGAUGGAUGUUUAAGUCAGUUGUGAAAGUUUGCGGCUCAACCGUAAAAUUGCAGUUGAUACUGGAUAUCUUGAGUGCAGUUGAGGCAGGCGGAAUUCGUGGUGUAGCGGUGAAAUGCUUAGAUAUCACGAAGAACUCCGAUUGCGAAGGCAGCCUGCUAAGCUGCAACUGACAUUGAGGCUCGAAAGUGUGGGUAUCAAACAGGAUUAGAUACCCUGGUAGUCCACACGGUAAACGAUGAAUACUCGCUGUUUGCGAUAUACAGCAAGCGGCCAAGCGAAAGCGUUAAGUAUUCCACCUGGGGAGUACGCCGGCAACGGUGAAACUCAAAGGAAUUGACGGGGGCCCGCACAAGCGGAGGAACAUGUGGUUUAAUUCGAUGAUACGCGAGGAACCUUACCCGGGCUUAAAUUGCAGAUGAAUUACGGUGAAAGCCGUAAGCCGCAAGGCAUCUGUGAAGGUGCUGCAUGGUUGUCGUCAGCUCGUGCCGUGAGGUGUCGGCUUAAGUGCCAUAACGAGCGCAACCCUUGUUGUCAGUUACUAACAGGUUCCGCUGAGGACUCUGACAAGACUGCCAUCGUAAGAUGUGAGGAAGGUGGGGAUGACGUCAAAUCAGCACGGCCCUUACGUCCGGGGCUACACACGUGUUACAAUGGGGGGUACAGAGGGCCGCUACCACGCGAGUGGAUGCCAAUCCCAAAAACCUCUCUCAGUUCGGACUGGAGUCUGCAACCCGACUCCACGAAGCUGGAUUCGCUAGUAAUCGCGCAUCAGCCACGGCGCGGUGAAUACGUUCCCGGGCCUUGUACACACCGCCC